CAGCAGGUGUGACAACAUGAUUUGUUGUGCUUGAUAACACACUAAACAACACUUUCAGUCUUUAUUUUCUCUUUUUAUUAUUGCCCCUCUCCUUUCCCCGAUGUCACAGCCUGACCUGAACCACAGAAGACAGGGCAUCACAGACAUCUUACACCUUUAAACCUCGUUAAACAGAGCGCGCACACACACACGCACCUCUCUUUGGCUGACAUUAAAUAACCACAUAAAUACACAACUACACCAACAUCAACUCACAAUUACGAUAAAAACAGGUUAUUAGCCUUCAAAAAUCUAGAACUCUUUUACAAGAUGGCUAAAAUUCAGAAAUUCAUUCAACAGCAGACGUUUCAAGUUUCGAAGGUCAGUUUUUUUUUUUCAAUUGAACCGCUUUGUAAUGAAAAGAGGGACUCCCCCCUCCCUGCUGUUUAUACUUUGUUAAAGCUGACAAUGCCGACUGAACACAGUGCCCACAAUCAGAUUCAGCUUUUCAUUUUGUUUACAGGCUUUUGUCAAAGUAAUAACAUAUAUUUUGGAAUUUCAAUUAACUGUAAUUAUUUUCUGAAUUGAAAGUGAACUGACCGUCCAACAGUUCAGUCACAAACUGAUGAACCAGUUGCAACCUUUGGAUUAUACUGCUUUACCUGAGCAUGAUUAAUGAGAUGAGAAACAGUCAUUUGACAUUAAAAACACACCUCAAUAUAUGGUGACAGACUGCAGACACAACUAUACUACUGACUUAAUCAAGUGGCUUAUCCCUGUAACUCUAAAACAUCUCAGUAAAAGAAUACAGCAGGUUCCUAACAUUUGGAUUUAAUAUCACAUUAUCUGAAGGCACAUUUACAGAUGCGUCUUUGUUCCUACUUAACAGCUGAAGAACACAGAGCUAAACAGCUUGAUCAGGCUGGCAUGAGUGAAAAAUUAUAAAAUAUACUACUCUUUUUUGUUUAAUGCAUGAAGUAAAACAAAUCAUGUUAGCAAUAAUUUAUCAGGCACACUGCAAACUUGCAUCUCUGCAGAUGCUUUGUAUGUUACAUUAGAGAGUAUUUGGGCUGUGGUUGCUUUGGUUACAGUGUUACAAGCUUUAGAUGAUGGUUUUCAGUCUGCGGGACACCUGAUUUUGUAAUCCAGACGUUUGAUGUGUGAAACAGAUAUAGGAACAUUUUGACAUUUUUGGUUAAAUUACCCUUCCUUCUUUUCUUGCAACAGGAUAGACUUCAGUCAUAAACAGGCUUAGAGACGGGUCGGCGACAACUAGGGAAAAAUAUGUAUCCAAAAUCCAGUUGGCGAUUGGUUGGUGGCUGUUGCAGAUCCCAUCUGUUGUCUGCACACCUGUCAACAAACAGUCACCAAGCAGCAGUGAAACUGUGAAAAGUGCAAAGCAAACCAGACUCGAUUUUCACACCUCUUAGAUUCAAACUUGUCCGACAUUUUUAGUAGAUGAACCUCUGGUAUCAGUUUGAGCAUCCUGUUUGGUUUUGAGUUAUUGACGGAGGUGUUUACAGACAGACUGGCAUCUUCCAUGCAAACUACACGUGACUGUGGCAAAUCUGAUAAAAAGGAAUCAUGAGGACGUUUUACGUCAGUGCUCACUAACUGGUCUCCAAGUCUGUAUGACUGAAGCCUUAAAUAACAUGAUUAACUCUCAAAUCCAGCAGGUAGUUCAGCCUUUUUAAGGGACGGAAACAGCUAACAGUGGCCUUGUCUAAGGUAAAACUGCUUGAAAAACUAACACUUAAUGUUCAAUUUACUUAUUAUUAAAAAAAGAAAAAAGAUAAAACAUAGAAUUUAUAAAAAGAAAAGACUACUACUGUUCUGCCAUCUUUAAAACAGGCUGUUUCCCCAUUCCCAGUCUAUUUGCCAAGCUGAGCUAACAGCUAGAUAUGAGAGCAGUAUUGAUAAUCUAAUUCUUGGUUAGAAAGCAGGCGUGCUGAUCUUUGGAUGAAAUCCACCACAGACUUAAAGUCCGUGGCGCAUUUGAACCGGAAAUGUCGGCAGUUCAGGUGAGAAAAACAGACUGCUGAUGUGUGAGGGGAAAAAACCAUCUCCAGAGCAAAUAGCAAGCACUGCUCUGAUCCAAAUUAAACUAAAGGCACAAAUGGUCUGAAUGUUGGCACAAUGGACGGUUCAGGAAAGUGUGAGCGAUCUGAGGAGGUGGAUCGAGGCGAUGAGAGGUCCCACGUAUUUUUCUUUAUUUCCUCUUUAUGGAGAAGAGCAGGCGUGGUGAGGAUAGUGCAGUCAGUGGUGGUGCAGUGGGGGUGCAGCAGAAGAAUCGCUGUGCACAGUUUGUUUGAUCAUAUCGCGUCUGACAUCGUGAAUAUGAGCAGAAGGCUGAAUAACAGCGCAGGAAGUGAAGUCGUUACACCGUGGCCUCCGAUUCCCAGAGGUCCUUGUGGUUCUCCAAACAGACGGCCUACUCACUGAAGCUGAAGUUCAGACCAGAAGACUCUGUAAUCGGGGAUGAGGGGCCCGCACUGGAUACAGCACUGGAGGGGAUGCUGCCAUCUGAACAGAAAACACACACACACAAGCUCUCUGUAAACACUUGUUUUCCCCCACUGGUACAAACUGUCGAUGUUUUAAAAAGUCCAUCCAUGGCGCAACUAAUAAUCCCAUUACUUUCCACCCCGGAGCCCUCGCUUCACUCUGCG
ensembl:lncRNA